CAAUAGCGUAUAUUAAAGUUGUUGCAGUUAGAACGCUCGUAGUCGGAUUUCGGGGCGGGGCGACCGGUCUGCCGAUGGGUAUGCACUGGUCGGCGCGUCCUUCCUUCCGGAGACCGUUCCUACUCUUAACUGAGCGGGGGCGGGAGACGGAUCGUUUACUUUGAAAAAAUCAGAGUGUUUCAAGCAGGCAGCUCGCUCUUGCAUGGAUUAGCAUGGGAUAAUGAAAUAGGACUUUGGUGCUAUUUUGUUGGUUUCGAACACCGAAGUAAUGAUUAAAAGGGACAGUCAGGGGCACUCGUAUUCCGCCGAGAGAGGUGAAAUUCUCAGACCAGCGGAAGACGAACCACUGCGAAANCANNNGCCAGGGAUGUUUUCACNGA
rnacentral:rRNA from 1 species